rnacentral:rRNA from 1 species
UACGUAGGGGGCAAGCGUUGUCCGGAUUUAUUGGGCGUAAAGAGCGUGUAGGCGGCCAGGUAGGUCUGCUGUGAAAACUCGAGGCUCAACCUCGAGAUGUCGGCGGAAACCCUCUGGCUAGAGUCCGGAAGAGGAGAGUGGAAUUCCCGGUGUAGCGGUGAAAUGCGCAGAUAUCGGGAAGAACACCCGUGGCGAAGGCGGCUCUCUGGGACGGUACUGACGCUGAGACGCGAAAGCGUGGGGAGCGAACAGG